CUCGGUGUGAUUCUCCACCGCCCACGAAUUGGGAAAUCUGAAACAUCAGACGGGCUCAAAUCAACAGCAUCAUCGAAAUGCCCAAACAUACAAACACACCUCCGUCUGAAAAGGAUUUUGAGCGUUUACUGAACUCAUUGACUCCAUUUGUGAGUGCUCAGCACUUCUGAAAAUCAGGCAAGAAGCUUUUAAAGAUUAAACAAUAGGCCGACUCCAGCAGGAAAUAAAAUCAUUUAAAUUUUGAAGAGAGACACAUAAAAAGGGGACGUGACAUUCGAGAGAUAUUUUAUUAUGUUAGACAGCAAAUUCAUAGGAAAUGCUUUUUCUGUGAAGUGAUUUAUGGUGCUGAGGGACUCACGGCCACAGAGACAAGGCUUUAAAAGUUUCAGGCACAGACUGGAUGACAGAACUAUCUUUGUUUAACUGUAAUUGCUAAUAGCGUAUCUGCAAGGGUUGCUUAACCUCAGGCUUUGGGGUCUAAUCUAUACUCUGGUUUCCAGGUCAAGAUGAAGCCUAACGUGGUGGCUGGUUAUCUCACAUCAGCUUAAUGCAAGCUCCUUCUCACUGCCUGCCCUGAGCACACCAUCAAGCAUUGGUGCUCAGACACGUCAGGAGGAGGUACUGUGCAAACGCCCUGCAAAGGGAUUCUGCAGGUAGAAGACAAGAGACAAUGAGACCUACAAGGGCAGCAAUAAUGGGCUACUUAGGUCAAAGUUUUCUUCCUUGAUACUACGAUGCAGCCCCAAAGUCUCAUUCUACACAGACCCCAUCCCACACACCCAAAUCUCAGACUCAUCAGAAUGCAGAUGACCACAGCUUGCUGCAGUGCUGCACUCAGCCUUCUCCUGCAUUAUUUAUGGUUAUUCUCUUUGGGAAAGAAAAUAAACAACAACAACAAACAACAAAAAACAACAAAUAGUUUACACGCUUUUAAAACUCAUAAAUAUAACAAACCCAAGGCAAUUUGGCAAACCUGCCUUAUGGCUGGUGGCCCACCUUGGGCCUGCUCAUGUGGUCGUGCUGACAUGUCUUUCUACCUCCAAGGAAUCUGUCACUUGGAGCCAAUCUAUCACAGUGACACACCGCUCAGAACACUUCUUUCUCUUUAUUCAUCCAUUACUUCACUUCCUGCCAUCCAUCUCCCUUGAGAUUUCUUUUCCUUAUUUUUAAUACCUGUGCCAAGUUGUAUCGCUGCCAUCUAUUUACCCACUGUGAUCAUCAGACUAAAACCAGAAAGAGACUGAAGCCAUCGGGCCAAAAUCUGAUUACCUGCAUCUCUUUUUAUUCACGUAUCAUUGAUGGUAUCUGGAGAACUGAACGUGCACUGAGUUUGAAUGAAUACAUUUCACAUAUGAUUGGCCUUCAGUGCAUCCAAGGUGACUGCCCAGCCCCGCCGUGCUCCUGGUUUGCUCCUCUGAAAAUGCAAAAGCUGAUCUCGGAGAUGAAAAGCAAAGUUUGAAAAGAAUUGUUCUUGGAGUCAAAAUUCCUGGUGUCCUAAAUUACAGCAACCCCCACCCGGAGCGAUUGGCUCCUCGGGGUAAUCUGAGCUCUCUCAAUUAACUGGCACAGAGAUAAAGAUUGCUCAUGCUAAAGUUGUCACAUAACACCGGGCUUAGAAAUUGGAAAAUCUCAAGCACAAGAAAGGUACCUUUUCACUUGUAUCUACAGCCUCAGCGUGUAUCAAUAUUUGGAUUUGGUUUAUACUCUCUUGAUGUGCAAAACUGAGGGAAUUAUAUACUGAAACAAAAGAAAAGGACUUUUUGUUGGAUUACCAUGUUAAUUAAAAUGUGGAAGACACCAUUUACCAUCUGAACACUUCAGAGUUUGAGUCUGUUGCUUUUGCAAGGCACAACGGGCAUCUGCAAAGUACGUGGGGAGUUCUGAAGCUCAGAUGUAAACCCCUUACAGACCCAAGAGGGGAAGAAGAUAUUUUAACGAGUUGUUUUGCACCUGCAAUUAAACAGACAUGCAGGUUUUCUUUUGGGGUACGGCAUUGUUUUAAUGCAUCUGUCAUCGUCCCUGAAAAUACCCAGUUGUGGAGUGUCAAAAAAAUACCCAACAAAUGAGAUGCAGUUCGUCCUGGAGUUCCUCUGAACACUGGUGCCACUGACAGCCAGCAGCCAGGGAGUGAACAUGGGCAUGUGGGCCAUCAUUCAUGAAGUGAGCAUCCUGCAAAGGGGCUCUGCUGCUGUGGCAUGUUUGUGGAGGGAGCUGGGAUCGAGAGCACUACAAGGAAUGGCUCAGGGGAUUAUAGAACUGCUGAGGUCACUUUUAUCUUCUAAACAAUAUUUCAUGUGUGGAAAGGCACUUUGAGCCUCCUGGGGUGAGCACCGUAUGACUCCGGGUCAGCAGCCCUUACACAAAGAGCAACUUCAUGAUGAAACCUAAAGCAGAAGGUAACAACAGAGCAUCCCCAAACCAACCAAGAAGCACUCCGGGGUGGAUGCCUUCCCCUGAAACGUCUCAUGCAAUUUAUUUCCAUAUCAGCUUGAAUAUUUGAAGGUUUUUGAGGCUUAGGAGAGGACACUGAAUGAGGCCAAGACGUAGAAGACUGAAGAGACCCAAAGCCACAGCAGAGCACCACGUCCAUCCUCCACAUAAAGCUGAUAUCUUUAUGGAGACUCACACUGAAGUAGGACUGGAUCUGUGAGGGUCAAAUUCUGAUUUUGUUGUUGGGAAAGGAUAGGCAGUGAAGGGGCUGCUAGAUUUGUUUCACUUCUCUCACAAAACGUAUUCCUGCCUGAAUUAUGAACCUGCUGUUAUGCUGAUAAGCCUGUUUAUGGUGUGACCUACUUAACCACAGCUCUGGU
ensembl:lncRNA